rnacentral:rRNA from 1 species
CAAUAGCGUAUAUUAAAGUUGUUGCAGUUAAAAAGCUCGUAGUUGGAUUUCUGAUCGAGACAUCAGGUCGGGUCCGAGAGGAUCAUGUACUUUGAUUUUGUUUUGAUCAUCCUUGGGGAGAGCAUUUCUGGCAUUCAGUUGUCGGGAUUGGGAUCCUCAUCGUUUACUGUGAAAAAAUUAGAGUGUUCAAAGCAGGCCUCGGCCUCUGAAUACAUUAGCAUGGAAUAAUAAGAUAGGACUUUGGUGGUCUAUUUUGUUGGUUUGCACGCCAAAGUAAUGGUUAAUAGGGAUAGUUGGGGGUAUUCGUAUUCAAUUGUCAGAGGUGAAAUUCUUGGAUUUAUGGAAGACGAACUACUGCGAAAGCAUUUACCAAGGAUGUUUUCAUUAA